rnacentral:rRNA from 1 species
UACGUAGGGGGCUAGCGUUGUCCGGAAUCAUUGGGCGUAAAGCGCGUGUAGGCGGCUCGGUAAGUCCGCUGUGAAAGUCGGGGGCUCAACCCUCGGAUGCCGGUGGAUACUGUCGGGCUAGAGUACGGAAGAGGCGAGUGGAAUUCCUGGUGUAGCGGUGAAAUGCGCAGAUAUCAGGAGGAACACCCGUGGCGAAGGCGGCUCUCUGGGACGGUACUGACGCUGAGACGCGAAAGCGUGGGGAGCGAACAGG